UACAAUAUAAAGCGCCUUGAGGUGACUGUUGUUGUGAUUUGGCGCUAUAUAAAUAAAACUGAAUUGAAUAGCAUUGUUUCCUUGCAGCGCUCUCUAAUUGAAGCUUCUUGAUCAGCUAAAUAGACAACAUUAUACAAUUAUUUUAACACCUCCUGAAUACUGACAGCACUUUUAUAAGCGUCACACUCUCAGAAUCAGAAUCAGAGAGACUUUAUUUAUCCCCAAGGGCCAAUUAAGAAUGACCUCUGUAUCUGUUUUAUUGUGCAGAGUGUGAUCCAACUACAGUCUACUCAUCAGUGAGAGCAGACAACAUCAAUUGUGGACAAACAGACAUCAGACCAAACAGGCCCAGAGAGUGCGAUCCAGCUACAAUCUACUCAUCAGUGAGAAGAGACAAGAUCACUCAUGGACAAAGAGACAUCAGACCAAACAGGCACAGAGAGUUUCCAUCUGACCAAAAUGGCUACUUCUCAUGAAGUAAUCCACCAGUCCAACCACUGGAAUCCAGCUGCUGGUUCACACAGGCACUCCAGCUAGUGGACCUU